rnacentral:lncRNA from 1 species
UCCUGUGACAACAGGUACGGGCCAGCAUUGGGACAGGCUUUGCCUGUAAGAGGGCUGGUCUGGGGGGACAUCUGAACCCAAUUCAGGAACACCUCACAGGUCUGCCAGCAGGGCUAGACCCGGGGUGAGAUCCAGGGCAACAGGGUCUGCCUGGGAAGCUCAGCUCCGGCACUGCCUGGGGCGUCUCUGCCUACACAGGACCAUUCCUCUCGCCUGGACUCCUCUUGGAGUUUGCCAAGGGAUAAAUUGGCAGCCGGCACCAGUGAGAGGCCAUUUCCUGAUGGUCUACACCUGUUGCACUAAAGUGUUCACUGAAUGCAGGCGCCAGGGAGAAGCACCUUCCCAGCCAUGUGCAUUAAGAAACAAAAUGGCAGAAUGUGACCUUCCAGGGGCACACCACAGGAAAAGGGAAGAAAGCCUCAGAGGGGCAUGCGUACCACUUCCUAAACACACUGUGUGUGCUCACCUCCCAAGGGCUGGCCUCUGCAGAAAUAGGAGACUCCUGGAGGAAGACAGUGGACUUCAGCAAGCUGCACCAAGGAGAAUCCACAGCGGCAGCUGCCCUGCCAGGCGCGGGAUCUCGGUCAAGGUGGAUCAACACAGCCUCAGGUGUGUGCUCUGCCCCACUGAGAUGGCAAGUGCAUUCUUUUCUAUUCCUACGAGGAAAGAGCAUCCGAAAGAGCCUGCCUUCACAUAGGAUGAAUAACAGUGGACCUUGGCUUUGCCUCAGUGUUAUGUGCUAAUAAACCAUGUAUUCUAUGCCCUAAGGAAGCCCAGAGAGAACUGGACAAGCUGGAUAUCCCAAAGAGCAUGGCACUGGCCCACCACAUUGAUUACAUUGCGCUGGCCGGGUGCUAACCAAGAAGCAGCUAACACACUGGGAGUCUUGGUAAGAUGCCUGAGUGCCUGCAGCUGGCAGACAAAUCCUACAAAGAUUCUGGGAACUGCCACUAAUAACACUCUUGGUGGGGAGGUCCCAUAUCCCAUAACCAGGAGCAUACUGGGCCUCCUGUCCACAGCAAAGAGCCAAUUACUGCAUCUUGCAUCUCCCAUGACCAAGAGAGACAGACAAUGCCAGUACGCCUUCUGGAGGCAGCACGUUCCACACACAUGAAGACUACUCCAGCCUAUGUACCAUUGAUAGGAGAAGCUGUCGGCCUUCCCUGAGCCUGCAGCAGGUCGAGGCUGCAGUGCUGGCAGCCCUGUGACUCAGGCCCUGCAGCUGGUCGGACCCUGUGUUAUGAGAGGUAUCAGACGUGGGAAAGCAAUGCUGUGUGUUUAUGGCAAACCACUAUGCCAGAAUCACAGUGCAGGCCCCUGGGAUUCAGAAACAAAGCCGUGCCAUCUGCGGCAGAGGAUUCUGCGAAAAAUUCUGAAAAGUCCCUGUUGAUGUGCUCCUGGGGCCUGGGGUGAUGGAAUACCUGAUUGUGCAUGUGGAACUGCUCAGAUGAGCUGGAUUCUGUCUCACCCCUGGGUCAUGAGGUUGGGGACUCAGAAAUAACCCAUCACAGGUGGGAGUGUGCGUGUGGCAGCAGCAGAAGCAGGAGCAGGAGGCCAAGCAGCGGCAGCUGCCCAGUACCCCCCCCCACCCUCCACAGCAGUCCCCACAGCCCCAGUGGAGGAACCUUCUGGUGAACUGAGGAGGGAGGGACAAGCCCGGCCUCAGUUCAUGGAGGUGUCUGCUCUGCCUGUGGGGCCAGCCCAAAUCGCCUGGCUGCCAUACUCCAGUCUCAGCAAGCUGCCCUUUAAAGAGGGUGAUAUGGUUUGGCUCUGUGUCCCCACCCAAAUCUCAUCUUGAACUGUAAUCCCCAGGUGAUGAGGGUGAG